UACAGAGGUGCGAGCGUUGUCCGGAAUCAUCUAGGGCGUAAAGCGCACGUUAGGCGGAUUUGUCAGUCAGGGGUGAAAUCCCGGGCUCAACCUCGGAACUGCCUUUGAUACAGCAAGUCUUGAAGUUCGAGAGAGGUGGGUGGAAGUUCCUAGGUGUAGAGGUGAAAUUCGUAGAGUAUUAAGGAAGAACACCGGUGGCGAAGGCGGCC
rnacentral:rRNA from 1 species